rnacentral:rRNA from 1 species
UACAGAGGGUGCGAGCGUUAAUCGGAAUUACUAGGCGUAAAGCGCGCGUAGGCGGCUUUGCAAGUCGGGUGUGAAAUCCCCAGGCUUAACCUGGGAACUGCAUUCGAGACUGCAUUGCUAGAGUAUGGGAGAGGGAAGUGGAAUUUCCGGUGUAGCGGUGAAAUGCGUAGAUAUCGGGAGGAACACCUGUGGCGAAGGCGGCUUUCUGGGCCCUACCUGACGCUGAGACGCGAAAGCGUGGAGAGCAAACAGG